AGAACGAACGCUGGCGGCAGGCUUAACACAUGCAAGUCGAGCGCCCCGCAAGGGGGAGCGGCAGACGGGUGAGUAACGCGUGGGAAUCUACCGUACCCUACGGAAUAACUCCGGGAAACUGGAACUAAUACCGUAUACGCCCUUUUAUGGAGACAUAUUUGGGGAAAGAUUUAUCGGGGUAUGAUGAGCCCGCGUUGGAUUAGCUAGUUGGUGGGGUAAAGCCUACCAAGGCGACGAUCCAUAGCUGGUCUGAGAGGAUGAUCAGCCACACUGGGACUGAGACACGGCCCAGACUCCUACGGGAGGCAGCAGUGGGGAAUAUUGGACAAUGGGCGCAGGCCUGAUCCAGCCAUGCCGCGUGAGUGAUGAAGGCCUAGGGUUGUAAAGCUCUUCACCGGUGAAGAUAAUGACGGUAACCGGAGAAGAACGCCCCGGACUAACGUUCGUGCCACGCGAACGCCGC
rnacentral:rRNA from 1 species